rnacentral:pre_miRNA from 1 species
UGCUGAUGAUGAUGAUGAUGAUGAUGAUGCUGCUGACAGUCAGCAUUGUAAAUGGGACCGAAUGGUAGGGGAAAUCUGUCCGUACUCACUUAUUGAACGGCCCUGGCAAGAUUGGUGUCCCCAUGAUCGACUCCCAUCAUUGUCACGAUCAUCAUCAUCAUCAUCGCCACCA